AACUGUUACAGGAGUGAACUAUCGUCAUCUAGUACUGUUACAGGAUUGAACUAUCAUCAUCUAGAAACUGUUACAGGAGUGAACUAUCAUCAUCAUCUAGAAACUGUUACAGGAGUGAACUAUCAUCAUAUAGAAACUGUUACAGGAGUGAACUAUCAUCAUCAUAUAGAAACUGUUACAGGAGAAAACUAUCAUCAUCAUAUAGAAACUGUUACAGGAGUGAACUAUCAUCAUCAUAUAGAAACUGUUACAGGAGUGAACUAUCAUCAUAUAGAAACUGUUACAGGAGUGAACUAUCAUCAUUAUCUGUUACAGGAUUGAACUAUCAUCAUCUAGAAACUGUUACAGGAGUGAACUAUCAUCAUCAUCUAGAAACUGUUACAGGAUUGAACUAUCAUCAUCAUCUAGAAACUGUUACAGGA
rnacentral:lncRNA from 13 species